AUCCACAACAGUUAGUAUUAAAGUAACACAUAGUUUAAUGCAUGCAUACAUACAGCUUUGAAAUCGCAUCUCACUUGUUGAAUUUCGGUUGGGGAAAGAGGUGGUCUGGUGGAUAUAUUGCCGUUCAUUUCAAUGUCUACGGGUAUAAAGUGGAAGGUAAAUACCCCUCGUUCGUGUACCUUUCAUAAGAAAAGAGUUGAAACUUGAUGGAAGUUUACUAUACAGAAGAAAGACAUGAUUGUACAUAUUUUUUACCCGUGUCGAUGCGAGUUAGUAUCUACUUUAAUGCAGCUUCUCAUCGUAAUUUUGUGCAGAUUCACCUAAAAACAGGUUUCCCACCCGACCAUGAAAAGGGUAUUGGACUUGUCAAAGCUAUAUGAAAAAGGUCCACAACAAAUCGACAAACUGCUUACGUGUAUCUCAGCACAUGUGCUAAUCCUAUGUACGCGUAUACAUAUGAGUGAAUUGGAUUGUUGAAUUCCAUAUACUGACAAACUGAUGAUGUAAAUUCACAAAUUUUUCAUAAUUUGCAUGCAAACAAUGAAAAAUAGGUAGAUAUGAUUUGAAUUUGGAUUAAAUUGCAGUAGAGCUCAUCAUGAAUAUUUAUACUCUUCUGGCAAUGUGGUUCUAAAGAGUGCAUGCAUUUAUUAUGGCCUGCAGAGCUGAAUGCAUGCAUAAAAACUUUACAUAUGUAAUACGCUGUUGGAUGGAGCACAUAAUAAAAACCUUUACUCGUAGUAUGAAUUUUAGUUUUGCACCAGAUUAUAGAUCGUGCUGUAUUCAUUUACAUUUACAUAGUCGUAAAUAUCUGUCAUUCGACACAAAUAUAUGGUAUAAAUACACUUAAAUCAUACAUUCAUCGAAAUCUUGGGGUUCAGACUUUCUCCAGGGCCAGUCCCAUCCAUAAAACACGUCCCACAAGUCCUCCUCCUCCUCCGCCUCAGUUACAUAGGUUAUCAAAGUGAUAAGCAAAAAUGUAAAGACCCAGAGAAGGAAAAACCUUCGAAAACGGUGACUGAUCACCUCCAUGGCACAGAGGAUAAGAAACGCUCCACAAUAUAUCACGAGGGAGAAGGACAUUGACACACCGAACAUGACAACGUAGCUGUACAAACCUGCAGAUACAUUUAGUUCACAUCAGAAUAAAUUUUAAAUUAAUGUGGGGGUCAUUUUCGAGGGGACAUUACCACGACUCCCGUCCGGAACAACAGAUGCAUUUCUAUCUGACAAUGUUGAUAAGAUUAAAACAAUGAAGAAGGCUGCCCACACGGACGCGCCGAGGAUACCGAUCCGAAAUGGGAAGGGUAUUUUGCUAACUUCUUCUCGGACCAAGGGAGCAAUGCUACAUAACGGCAUGUUUAAUUACAGUGUGUGUUUGCGGUAGGAUACGUGAUGAUAACCUGAUGAUGAGACUGAUAAGACGGUUAAGUCGGAAUUUCUACUUAUUAAGUCAAUUUCCGUCCCUUCUCAACGCUUGACAACAGACAAAAAUGGUACAUGGCAAUCAUUUCUCCAACUCCACAAUUUUAAUUACAAGUCCCUCAUGGAAAAAGUGUGUUUUUGAAUGCAAAGACAACGAAAUUGAAGAAUAUGCAUCACUUUUACGCCGAUCCAUAAAUUUUAUUAGCUGAAGCAAUAUAGAUAAAUGUAAUCUUGCUGUCAUGCAAUUCAGUCCCCGUUAAAGCGGAAUAAGAGAAAAGUGCUUUCAACUGGCUGCCGAAAUAGCUCAGUUGGGAGAGCGUUAGACUGAAGAUCUAAAGGUCCCUGGUUCAAUCCCGGGUUUCGGCAAAUUUUUUUUGCUCAAAUUUCUUAGCACUAAUUUUUGCAUUAACAGAUAAUAAAUUAAUAUUUACCAUUCUAUUUGUGGAGAGCUAUGAACUCAUGCAAAAUAAACUUGAAAAUGUUCUCUUCGUUAUAAAUUAAAAAUUUUGGCUAAAAUAAAUGCAGUUUAAAAUUCUUAUGCAUUCGAAAUAUUAUUUCUAUUCCCCGAGAGGGAGGAGGAGGAUCUUUAUUACUCGUGGUUAAAUUACCUGCAAAAUAUGUCUUGUUACUACAAAUAAAUUACUACACAGGCAAGUUUAACAGAUCACAAUGGAUAA